AAGCUCGUAGUUGAAUUUCGGACCUGGCUGGGUGGUCUGGCCGCAAGGUCAGCACUGCUCUGGUCGGGUCUUUCUUUCUGGAGCUCUUGCGUGCGCUUAACUGAGUGCGCAAGGUGAUCCAGGACUUUUACUUUGAAAAAAUUAGAGUGUUUAAAGCAGGCUUACGCUUGAAUACAUUAGCAUGGAAUAAUAGAAUAGGACUUUGGUUCUAUUUUGUUGGUUUCUAGGACCGAAGUAAUGAUUAAUAGGGACAGUUGGGGGCAUUAGUAUUUAAUUGUCAGAGGUGAAAUUCUUGGAUUUAUGAAAGACUAACUUCUGCGAAAGCAUUUGCCAAGGAUGUUUUCAUUAAUCAAGAACGAAAGUUAGGGGAUCGAAGAUGAUCAAAUACCGUCGUAGUCUUAACCAUAAACUAUGCCGACUAGGGAUCGGAUGAUGUUAAUUUUUUAAUGACUCAUUCGGCGCCUUACGGGAAACCAAAGUGUUUGGGUUCCGGGGGGAGUAUGGUCGCAAGGCUGAAACUUAAAGGAAUUGACGGAAGGGCACCACCAGGGGUGGAGCCUGCGGCUUAAUUUGACUCAACACGGGGAAA
rnacentral:rRNA from 1 species